rnacentral:rRNA from 1 species
UGGGGAAUAUUGCACAAUGGGCGCAAGCCUGAUGCAGCCAUGCCGCGUGUAUGAAGAAGGCCUUCGGGUUGUAAAGUACUUUCAGCGAGGAGGAAGGCGUUGUGGUUAAUAACCGCAGCGAUUGACGUUACUCGCAGAAGAAGCACCGGCUAACUCCGUGCCAGCAGCCGCGGUAAUAAGGAGGGUGCAAGCGUUAAUCGGAAUUACUGGGCGUAAAGCGCACGCAGGCGGUCUGUCAAGUCGGAUGUGAAAUCCCCGGGCUCAACCUGGGAACUGCAUCCGAAACUGGCAGGCUAGAGUCUUGUAGAGGGGGGUAGAAUUCCAGGUGUAGCGGUGAAAUGCGUAGAGAUCUGGAGGAAUACCGGUGGCGAAGGCGGCCCCCUGGACAAAGACUGACGCUCAGGUGCGAAAGCGUGGGGAGCAAACA